rnacentral:rRNA from 2 species
UGGGGAAUAUUGCACAAUGGAGGGAACUCUGAUGCAGCGACGCCGCGUGAACGAAGAAGGCUUUCGAGUCGUAAAGUUCUUUUAUAUGGGAAGAUAAUGACGGUACCAUAAGAAAAAGCCCCGGCUAACUACGUGCCAGCAGCCGCGGUAAUACGUAGGGGGCUAGCGUUGUCCGGAAUCACUGGGCGUAAAGGGUUCGCAGGCGGAAAUGCAAGUCAGGUGUAAAAGGCAGUAGCUUAACUACUGUAAGCAUUUGAAACUGCAUAUCUUGAGAAGAGUAGAGGUAAGUGGAAUUUUUAGUGUAGCGGUGAAAUGCGUAGAUAUUAAAAAGGAUACCGGUGGCGAAGGCGACUUACUGGGCUCAUUCUGACGCUGAGGAACGAAAGCGUGGGUAGCAAACAGG